CCUACGGAGGCUGCAGUGGGGAAUAUUGGACAAUGGGCGAAAGCCUGAUCCAGCCAUGCCGCGUGUGUGAAGAAGGCCUUCGGGUUGUAAAGCACUUUCAGUGGGGAAGAAAGCCUUGGGGCUAAUACCCUCGAGGAAGGACAUCACCCACAGAAGAAGCACCGGCUAACUCCGUGCCAGCAGCCGCGGUAAUACGGAGGGUGCGAGCGUUAAUCGGAAUUACUGGGCGUAAAGCGCGCGUAGGCGGUCUGAUAAGCCGGUUGUGAAAGCCCCGGGCUCAACCUGGGAACGGCAUCCGGAACUGUCAGGCUAGAGUGCAGGAGAGGAAGGUAGAAUUCCCGGUGUAGCGGUGAAAUGCGUAGAGAUCGGGAGGAAUACCAGUGGCGAAGGCGGCCUUCUGGACUGACACUGACGCUGAGGUGCGAAAGCGUGGGUAGCAAACAGGAUUAGAUACCCUAGUAGUC
rnacentral:rRNA from 1 species